rnacentral:misc_RNA from 1 species
UAUCAGCGGCCGGCUAUGGUUGAUCUGUCGACCCAUCAGUGGCCGGCUAUAGUUGAUCUGUCGACCCAUCAGUGGCCGGCUAUAGUUGAUCUGUCGACCCAUCAGCGGCCGGCUGUAGUUAAUCUGUCGACCCAUCAGCGGUCGGCUAUAGUUGAUCUGUCGACCCAUCAGCGGUCGGCUAUAGUUGAUCUGUCGACCCAUCAGCGGUCGGCUAUAGUUGAUCUGUCGACCCAUCAGCGUCCGGCUAUAGUUGAUCUGUCGACCCAUCAGCGGUCGGCUGUAGUUGAUCUGUCGACCCAUCAGCGGCCGGCUAUAGUUGAUCUGUCGACCCAUCAGCGGCCGGCUAUAGUUGAUCUGUCGACCCAUCAGCGGUCGGCUGUAGUUAAUCUGUCGACCCAUCAGCGUCCGGCUAUAGUUGAUCUGUCGACCCAUCAGCGGUCGGCUGUAGUUGAUCUGUCGACCCAUCAGCGGUCGGCUGUAGUUGAUCUGUCGACCCAUCAGCGGCCGGCUAUAGUUGAUCUGUCGACCCAUCAGCGGCCGGCUAUAGUUGAUCUGUCGACCCAUCAGCGGUCGGCUGUAGUUGAUCUGUCGACCCAUCAGCGGCCGGCUAUAGUUGAUCUGUCGACCCAUCAGCGGUCGGCUGUAGUUGAUCUGUCGACCCAUCAGCGGCCGGCUAUAGUUGAUCUGUCGACCCAUCAGCGUCCGGCUAUAGUUGAUGUCGACCCAUCAGCGGCCGGCUGUAGUUAUCCUGUUAACUCAUCAGUGGCAGGCAUUUUUUUUUACCUACAAGAGGAGACAAUGGGCUCAAAUGACAAUGACUACACUACAGAAGAGGAGGCCUGGGUAUUCUAUCGAGACAGAGAAGAAUGGGCAGACGUUACACCAAUACCUCAAGAUGAUGGCCCAAAUGCAGUGGUAAAAAUUGCAUAUACAGACGCUUUUACAGAUGUGUAUGACUAUUUUCGAGCUGUGAUGGCUAACGGGGAGCUGUCUCAGAGAGCCCUAGAGCUAACUGAAGAUGCAUUAAAUAUGAAUGCUGCCAACUAUACUGUGUGGCAAUAUAGGAGAAAGAUUCUCAGACAUUUAGGAAGUAACCUGGAGGCUGAAUUGACAUUUUGUCGGGAAAUGAUUGAAAUGAAUCCCAAAAACUAUCAAGUGUGGCAUCAUCGCCGUGUUAUUGUCGAGUGGCUCGGUGAUGCCAGCAAAGAAUUGAGACUGACCGAGAUGAUCUUCAAUCAAGAUGCCAAGAAUUACCAUGCUUGGGAACAUCGACAGUGGGUCCUCAGAACGUUUAAACUUUAUGAUGGAGAACUUGAUUAUGUUGAUAGACUUCUUAAAGAAGACGUGAGAAAUAACUCUGCUUGGAACCAGCGGCACUUUGCUAUCACUCAGACCACAGGCUUCACACCGGAGGUGAUAGAGCGAGAAGUGGAGUACACCAAAAAGGCCAUCAGCAAAGUUGUGGGUAAUGAGAGCCCGUGGAGUUACCUCAGAGGGGUUGUCCAACACUGUGAUGGUGGCAUGAAUAGUACUGGCAAUCUGGAGCAGUGGUGCCAACAAAUGUAUGAUGCUGGCCAACGCUCACCUCAUCUUCUUGCCUUCAUGAUAGACCUUAUGGAAGACAAGAUGGAGCGAGAGGCCUCGGAAAGACCGCAUGUACUGAAGAAAACUCAGGAGCUAUGUGAAUCUUUGGCCAUGGAACAUGACAAGAUUCGCCGCGAGUACUGGAUGUAUAUAGAACGAAGCCUUAGUCACAGAUUUGGCGCUUAGGCAGUUGAAUUCAGAUCUCGGUGUUCCAGUGCCCUUAUUUAAUACUGGAUCUCAGUGUGCAGAUAGUAAUAAAACACGGCAAUUCCUUCACAAAUCAAGCACUGACUACACCCUCCCCAGAGUGGACAGUAGUACAAAAGUUAAUUAACUUCAAGAUUAAGAAGAGCAAACAGAGUUGUGUACUAACAGUAUUUCUCAAAGAAAUAUCCGACUUUUAUGGUAAGAUUUAUGUGUAUCAGCCCUAGAAUAUGGAAAAUAUUUAUAUAUUAUAGUAUUGGUAACUAUAUUAGGUCAUUCAGGAGUCACUUAUAUAAUAUAUUGUACGUGCUACAAAACAGUGGCACUGAUCAAUACAUGUUUCUUCCAAAAAAAAUUAAGUACAAACUUGCUCUAAUAACAAAGACUAAUGAUGCCUGCUUUAGUUUCUUCACUUCUCCACAACUCCUGACAUGAUACAUUACUUUGUAGGCUACUCAAGACUUGGUCAAAAAGCCUACGUAACGUCACCUUCCAUCACCAUAAUUCAGACACUGAAAAACUAGACGUUUUAGGGCAAUAAUUCCAUUCAUAUAAUGCAUAUUAUAUAUAUUUAUAUAUGAUUUUGGCCUAACUGAUUGCACUGCAUAUACUAUGUGUUUUUUUUUUUUUUUUAAAAGAGUAUUGCAUAAGAUUUCAAGUCCUGUAGGUACACAAGAGCUCACAUUGGCUCACAUUGGCUUUCUCAGAGCUCCAGUAAAUAGACACCAUUUUGAAGGAAAAAAAAUGGUAGGCACGAUUCCUAGAUGUGAAGGCUGUAUCGAGAUCAAUCGAGGCUGGUGCAUGGCUGCACGAGCUAAGUGCUGCUCUUCAGCUUGUGAUCACAGCAUUUCUUAAAAACAUGAAAUACUUAUGUAACUGCUAUUAAUUUGCUAUGAUGGUAUCAUAGACAAGCCUGACUGUGAUAAAGACUGCUUACAAUAUUCAAAUAUCAGUGAAAAACAAUGUUGUUCAAGAUGUUCACAGCACUAGGCAGGCAGCGUCAGCACUCUUGCCAUUGUUUAGUCCAUCUAAGCAUCCUGAAACGGCUCAUGUUCCUUUACAAAAUUAUCUUGAAAAUUAAUAAUUUUCCACAAGUUUUAGUGACUAGGAUUCUGAUAACAGCAUUGUGCCUAGAACUAGUGGUGUGUAGUAUGUUGGGAGGAGGAAUUUCGCUAAGUGAGGUAGUGUUGUUGGCUGAUUAGCACGUAGUGGCACAGUGCUGUUUGGACUCGCCAGACCACCUUGGUGGUUCGUUAUGAACAAAAAUGUAAAUAUACUAUACACACGUUAUAUGUAACA